UACGUAGGGGGCAAGCGUUGUCCGGAUUUAUUGGGCGUAAAGAGCGUGUAGGCGGCUAGGUAGGUCCGUUGUGAAAACUCGAGGCUCAACCUCGAGACGCCGGUGGAAACCAUCUAGCUAGAGUCCGGAAGAGGCGAGUGGAAUUCCUGGUGUAGCGGUGGAAUGCGCAGAUAUCAGGAGGAACACCGAUAGCGAAGGCAGCUCGCUGGGACGGUACUGACGCUGAGGCGCGAAAGCGUGGGGAGCAAACAGG
rnacentral:rRNA from 1 species